GCCUAGUUAGCUUAGUUGGUAGUGCGUCUGCCUUGUAAGCGCUAGGCCGUGGGUCCGAUUCCCGCCCGGGGCG
rnacentral:tRNA from 1 species